rnacentral:lncRNA from 1 species
AUGCCGCUAACAUAUACAGUAUUUUACUUCUUUGAUCAACUAUUUCUAAGGAUAAGUUACAGAAUACAAAUGCAUUAUGCUCUACUUCUUCAAACCAAUUGCUACUUUUUAAUAUCAAAUGCAGAACCAACAUUCCCUUCCCUUCCCUUCUCCCCUUUUUUUCCCUUUUCCCCUUUUUUCCCCCUUUUCCAUUUCCCUCCCCCCCCUCCCUCCCUCCCUUUCUUCCCACUCCUUCCUUUCUUCCCACUCCUUCCUUCCUCCCUCCCUCCCUCCCUCCCUCCCUCCCUCUCUCCCUAUCAGCCUGGCUCUCACGCUGUUGCCCAGAUGCCCGUCUUCCUUUUCCCACACCUCCAUGCUCUGCCCACAUCCCACUGUUUGGCUGCAUCUCCCUGCGGAUGUCCCGCCCCACAGCCCCACUCACAGCCGCCAUCCCCGGAGCUCUGCCCUCCCCCAGUCACUCCCCCACCUCCCCAGGAGAUCCCUGAGGGCUCUCCGUUCCCCCCCCACCCUUCUUCACCCCCCGCUGCCCCUCGAGCCCCACUCGGGCUUCCGGCCGUGCGUGCAGGCCGCGCUGCCACGGCGACAGCGCGCCCUCCCUCCUUGCGGCGCGGGAAGCCGUCCCCGCGGCGACAGCGCAUGCGCGGCGGCGUCUCCAUAGCAACGGCGCCCCGGCGCGUCCGUUGCUCGAGCGACGCGCCGUCCCCGCUGAGUGACGUCAUCACCUCGCGACCCGUGGACGCGGCCAUGCGGAAGUGGAGCGGGGCUCCGCGCUGCUCCAGCGCCGCGGCGCAGCCCCGGGACUCCGAGUGCCGCCUCAGCUUCUACGAAAGGAUCUGCAGAAGUCCUAGAGAGGUUUGGGUCAUCCAGGAGGUUCAGGACUCAACCAGAAGAGUCUGGAGAUGUCCCAGAUGGAUUGUGUCCUGUUGUGGGGAAGCGUCGCAGACAGAAAGCUGCUGUGUGGAGCCCCACACGACGAGCUGCAGAGGCCGCUGA